AUUUCUUUUCUUAAAUAACUUUUACCGUUUGAAUCUGAAUUCAUUAAUUAAAGGAAGUCUUACGUUGAUUGAUUUUUAAUUGAUAUUCAGUUCCUUAAUUGUUUUCUUACCUUAUUUCGGCUUGCUUUUCUCGCUAUACAUGCACAACUCUUUCAUUGAUACAGACACCAUCAGUCAUUCAUAGUCUUUCUGAACUUAUACUUGUACACAAUAGUAUUCUCUCUUCUUGUCUGCAUUGUGGCUUGUUUACAAGACCUACUGCUUUUC
rnacentral:lncRNA from 1 species